rnacentral:rRNA from 1 species
UACGUAGGGGCUAGCGUUAUCCGGAAUUACUGGGCGUAAAGGGUGCGUAGGUGGUUUCUUAAGUCAGAGGUGAAAGGCUACGGCUCAACCGUAGUAAGCAUUUGAAACUGGGAAACUUGAGUGCAGGAGAGGAGAGUGGAAUUCCUAGUGUAGCGGUGAAAUGCGUAGAUAUUAGGAGGAACACCAGUUGCGAAGGCGGCUCUCUGGACUGUAACUGACACUGAGGCACGAAAGCGUGGGGAGCAAACAGGAUUAGAUACCCGUGUAGUCCCUGAG